rnacentral:siRNA from 1 species
UGUGAGACCUUUGGUUUGUACCCA